rnacentral:tRNA from 1 species
ACACCUGUGGCUCAACUGGUAGAGCAGCGGCCUCCAAAGCCGAAGGUUGGGGGUUCAAAUCCCUCCAGGUGUGCCA